rnacentral:rRNA from 1 species
UGCAAGUCGAACGGCAGCGCGGGGCAACCUGGCGGCGAGUGGCGAACGGGUGAGUAAUAUAUCGGAACGUACCCUGGAGUGGGGGAUAACGUAGCGAAAGUUACGCUAAUACCGCAUACGAUCUAAGGAUGAAAGUGGGGGAUCGCAAGACCUCAUGCUCCCGGAGCGGCCGAUAUCUGAUUAGCUAGUUGGUAGGGUAAAAGCCUACCAAGGCAUCGAUCAGUAGCUGGUCUGAGAGGACGACCAGCCACACUGGAACUGAGACACGGUCCAGACUCCUACGGGAGGCAGCAGUGGGGAAUUUUGGACAAUGGGCGCAAGCCUGAUCCAGCAAUGCCGCGUGAGUGAAGAAGGCCUUCGGGUUGUAAAGCUCUUUUGUCAGGGAAGAAACGGUGAGAGCUAAUAUCUUUUGCUAAUGACGGUACCUGAAGAAUAAGCACCGGCUAACUACGUGCCAGCAGCCGCGGUAAUACGUAGGGUGCAAGCGUUAAUCGGAAUUACUGGGCGUAAAGCGUGCGCAGGCGGUUUUGUAAGUCUGAUGUGAAAUCCCCGGGCUCAACCUGGGAAUUGCAUUGGAGACUGCAAGGCUAGAAUCUGGCAGAGGGGGGUAGAAUUCCACGUGUAGCAGUGAAAUGCGUAGAUAUGUGGAGGAACACCGAUGGCGAAGGCAGCCCCCUGGGUCAAGAUUGACGCUCAUGCACGAAAGCGUGGGGAGCAAACAGGAUUAGAUACCCUGGUAGUCCACGCCCUAAACGAUGUCUACUAGUUGUCGGGGUCUUAAUUGACUUGGUAACGCAGCUAACGCGUGAAGUAGACCGCCU